UACGGGGGGGGGCAAGCGUUGUUCGGAAUUACUGGGCGUAAAGGGCUCGUAGGCGGCCAACUAAGUCGGAUGUGAAAUCCCCAGGCUCAACCUGGGAACUGCAUCCGAUACUGGAUGGCUUGAAUUCGGGAGAGGGAUGCAGAAUUCCAGGUGUAGCGGUGAAAUGCGUAGAUAUCGUAAGGAAGACCAGUGGCGAAGGCGGGUCUCUGGACCGAUACUGACGCUGAGAAGCGAAAGCAUGGGGAGCGAACAGG
rnacentral:rRNA from 1 species